CGCCUUGGCAACGGCGGCGGGGCUGGGAAAACCGUGGCCGGGGCUUGCGGGGCCUAUGGAUCUACGCCCGGCGGCGCGUGGCAGCGGUUUCUAAGCCCGCGCUGCAGCCUCGGGCUUCGGCGCGCCGCCGGGCUCCCGCUCGCGCCCCCUGCGGCCGGCGCGCGGGCCCGAGCCUCUGGCUCGCUGGAGGAACCCGCACGGACGCUGCUCCGCCCUGUAAGGCCUCGACCAAAAUGGCCUAUGUUGAGUGAUGGUCUCAUUGGACAGUUUUGGAGGUUCCACCGAGAUUGAAGACCCUCAUUUGGCAGCAUUCCAGGGAAGCCUGAGGCCAACAGGUGACUGAUAAUCUUCCAGAAGUAAUGAUGCACGAAGAUUGGUGUGUUUGGAGCCAAAUCUAUCCAAAGAUGCAUUUUUGGAUGAAAAGUAGAGAUGAGGAAAGAAAGCGCAGAGAAAUGACAAGACUUCCUCAAAUCGACGUAACAUGCUAUCAGUCUAGGUCUGAAUCCUGUGCCCCAUCAGUAUCCAAGAAGAUGCUUUGGGAUUUUAAUUGGAUAUUAAUUAAUAAUUUGGAUUGGAAGUGUUCUCUUAUCAAGACAGAGAAGGCAAGACUGAAAGCCUCCUCUGAAGUUAGGAAAACAGACAGUCUCAGGCGAGUUGUCUCCAGCAUGAUAAACACAAGCUUCAGUCUGAAUGAGGCCAUCAUAAGGACCUCCAUCAUGCGAGCAGUUAGAAUACAGAUAUGAUGGUUGGAGAUCCAGCAGCUAUCUUGGCCAAUGAGGCAGCUUUGAGAAUGGGAGCUUUUGCUAAGGAAGGUAGAACACAAAGAUAGAAGACAACCAGGUUACUGAUGACUAUGGAGGCUCCAUAUCAGCCUUGGAUUGCCUGGCUUGGGACGUCUAUGGGCGAGAAAAAUUCAGAUCAAUAUCCCUGAGGGAAGGGAGGAAUAGGUGAAGUUCAAGAAAUAGCUGAAGGCGGGUUGCCUGAUGUGGAGGCAAGGACCCAGUGUCGGUCCCGGGGCUGUGCAUGGCGGGGAAGGUGCAUCUCCGCAGCGUCGUGGCAAGUCUUCCAGACCUGUCUGCAGCUCUUCCUGUAACCAAGAGGCCUUUUCCUGUGUUUGAACUCACCACCAAUGGCUGUCCUACCAAAGCUCCUUUGUGCAGGCCGCCUUCUGUUCACCGACAGCUGCUUUGAGCGUCCGUCAGAGCAGCUCAUCUGCCAGGCUGUGCGCCUCUGGUCACAUCGCUCUGAGGCCUCCUGUUUGUCAGCUUCAAAGUGCCUCACAAGUGGUGACUUGCCUCCUUCCGGGUGGAUGUCAAAAGAAGGGGAAGCCUGGACAUACUCAUGACACCGCUGGAAUUAAGGCUGGAAGCUUCUAUCUCAUUUUGCAGAAGAAGCAAUCAGGACCAAAGAAGAGCGGUUGAAAACCACUGCCGGGCCUUGUGGCCAGGUCUUAGGGUGCUUGGAGAGAGCCUGUAAGUAGAAGAAAAGGCCUUUAUGACCACUCUGGAGGAAGACUGUGGAAAAAUGAGCCCUACUGAAUAAUGGAAACUCAUCCCUCCUGGGCCAGCUUUGAGAACGCUACCAGCUUUUCAGGAGCAGCAUGGGUGUGUGCUGGAGAAAAGGGAGCUCUGUUGGGUGAGUAUUAAGAAAUGCAGGCACAGGAUACACGUGAGGACGGUGACAGUAAGGCAAGCCGACCAAGAGGCUAGGGUGGAGCAAAGGCGGGUAGGUACUCAGGUUUGGAAUCUCUGGAGAUUGGGGGUGGGGGUGGGUACAUGGUAGAAGGUGCUGCUGUUCAAAAGUGUGACUCUUUCAUGAGCCAGCUGUUUGCGUGCCAGGCACUGCCUAUAUUCACUCUCCAGUAAACCCUUGCCACAGAGUGUAUGAGGGUGGCGCUCAGACUUUACCACCCACGACCGCUCUAGGCACCAACAUGUCCACCUGCAGCUCCUGACGGCCCUUCUCGACACAACCAGAUUUAGGCUGGACUUUACAACUCUUCAUCUGCUUCCACUCUUGCCCCUCCACAAGCCAUUCUUUGCACAGUGAGCAACACAGGCUUUCUGAAAUGCAAAUCUGAUCAUGUCCUUCUUCUGUGUAAAAUCUUUAAUGAUUUCCCAACCAUCUUAGGAUCAAGUUCAGAAUCUGAACUCGGACCCCCCAGCUGCCCGUUGCAGGAGCUGCUGCCUCCCCUCCUUGCCUGGCACAUGCCUGCUCAUUCUUCAGGUCUCAGUUUAUGUUUCAUUUUCUUAAGAAGACUUUCCCUGACCUUUUGUACAGGUUUGGUACCUGACUACACGCUCUCCUAACUCUUAGGUUUCCUUCUCAGAGCAGUGACUGCAAUUGUAAUUGUUCAGAUACCCAAGCAUGAUUUAUUUAAUUGAAAGUGUCUCUCUCUGCCAGGAAGUAAAAUUCAUAAGUGCCUUGCCCACUCCUAGCAUGGAGCCGUCUGGUCCAUGAGACAUGCUCACUAAAUGGUCGCAGAAUGCGCCUCUGUGCUGUACAUUUUUACCUUUUAUAUUAUACAGCAUGUUCUCCAAUUCUAGGGACCAGUUUUUACUGUGUGACAGGCAGUGUUUGUUAGCUUUUGGUUGAAAUAGAGCUCUGAGCCAGAAUUCCCUGGGUUUGGAAUCUUACUAAUUGUGUGAUACUGGGAAGUAGUGUAACGUCUCCAUGCUUCAGUUUCCUCAUCUGUUAAAAAAGAGGAGGAGAUAAAGGGCAACAAUAGCACCUACUUCAGAGGACUGUGGUGACGAUUAAAUAAGUUGUGACAUGUAGUAUGUUUAGAACAGUGCCUCACACAUGGUAAGUGUAUGAAAGAUUUUAGCUCCUCUUCUUCUUUACUCCUAAGAAUAUGAAAAAUAGGUGUUAUGUUAUUAUCCCCACUUGUCAGAUGAGGAAACUAGAUGCAUAAAACAGGCUUUCUUUAGUAACUUGUUUAUAAUCCUUCAUAUCAUUUUUUCAUGCUAAAAAAAAAAACUAAAAAGAAAGAAAGAAAUGAAUGUUCUCACGUUUUGGGAGUUGGGACUUGGAGGAUAUUAGGGCCUGGCAAGAUGAAGAGAAUAAAUCAAAGAAACAAAGGAAGUUUCAAAGCUGUUUCAGGCCCAGGACUUGGCCCUCUCCUUGCACGUUAGUCUAAUGCGUGAGAAGCCUACACGAGGGAGGGGAGACCCAACUGGCACAGAGUCUGGAAGGGAGUUGGCGAGUCCAUGGAGAGUGACUCAGAGCAGCAGGGACCAGCAUCUCCAGGUCAUAGCAGGAAGUGAGAGCCGUGGCUCCCAAUCCGUUCUGAAACGACUCAGGAACUCUGCCAGGGUCUCCAAAGGCAUCACCAUGUCCUCAAACCAAAUCCACUUGAAUUAAAGAAAAAAAAAAACUAUGCCAUGCGUCCCAUGUGAGAGGAAGUAGGUGCAAAGAAACCAAACAAAAGGUUGUGAAUCACUGGAGUGGACAAUCUUCCUGGAGAGAGGGGAGUCCUGCACCAGGCUUUAAAAAGACAUCUGGCAGCGACAGGAAUAUUCCUGGCAGCCUGUUGUUAAUGGCCCCGAAAUAGAAACAACCCAAAUAUCAUCUUCAGUAGAGUGGAUAUGUAAAUUGUGGUACAGUCACAGAAUGAAGUAUUCUCCAGCGAUGACAGUGAUUGAACCAUAAGUACACUCAACAGUAGGGGCGAAUCUCACAAACAUAACACAAAACAGAAAGUACAAUUUGCUGCCAUUUGUUAUGUAAACCAGGUAAUAUCAUCUACGUCAGGUUCGAGAAUUUAGGGCCAUGUGACCCUUGAGGAGAGGUAGAAGGCUGGAGGGCCACAGGGUGUCUCCUCUUAGGUUUCUGUUAUUCAGAUGUGUUGGUUUUAUAAAAAUUCACUGAUGUAUACACUUACUUUUUUGUGCACUGCUCUGAACAUAUGUUAUAUUUCAAUUCAUUCUUCACUUCCCCGCCCUCCAUGGCCAGGGGUCAAAUUAGUCCUGGGUGAACACAUAGCCCUAGAGCUCUGGAUAUUCAGAAGUGGGAGACGUACCGUUUAGGAUGCUUCAGAAGUGGGAAGCGUUCUGAGUAGAGCUAAUGUUUCUGCAGUGCUGGUUCUGAGUCUUGGGUCACUGCUUUUGCCUCACUGAAUUUUAACCUUGGUGUUUCUCCUUGUCCCCUGAUCUUGUAGCCCUCUCUUUCUAAUCAAAUGAUCUCUAUAAUAUCGAGUGCAAUGUGGAGCUCACCUGUUGG